GGCCGCGGGGCCUUCCCUUGUGCUUGAUCUAACCAUGUGGCAGCUCUGCAAACGAAACAUGGUUCUGUCAAGCACCGAGGAAAGCCUGGCGUUC
rnacentral:pre_miRNA from 10 species